rnacentral:rRNA from 1 species
AGGACGAACGCUGGCGGCGUGCUUAACACAUGCAAGUCGAGCGGAAAGGCCCUUCGGGGUACUCGAGCGGCGAACGGGUGAGUAACACGUGAGUAAUCUGCCCCUAGCUCUGGGAUAGCUCCGGGAAACCGGGAUUAAUACCGGAUACGACCACCUUAGACAUCUUUUGUGGUGGAAAGAAUUUCGGCUAGGGAUGAGCUCGCGGCCUAUCAGCUUGUUGGUGGGGUAACGGCCUACCAAGGCGACGACGGGUAGCCGGCCUGAGAGGGCGACCGGCCACACUGGGACUGAGACACGGCCCAGACUCCUACGGGAGGCAGCAGUGGGGAAUAUUGCGCAAUGGGCGAAAGCCUGACGCAGCGACGCCGCGUGGGGGAUGAAGGCCUUCGGGUUGUAAACCCCUUUCAGCAGGGACGAAGCGAAAGUGACGGUACCUGCAGAAGAAGCGCCGGCUAACUACGUGCCAGCGAGCCGC